CUGUACUAUGGUAGAGUUAAUGCCUAAUUAAAAGUUCGAUGCUAUUAUUAAUACUUGAUCGAUACAAUUGGUACUUUUUGCAAAGUCGUAGAUAGCAUCUUUGUUUUAUAUUGUAAUUUUGUUUCAAUCUUACAGGCUUUAUCCAUUCGAGUGAAUCCCCUACUCAUAAUGUUACCCAUGACAUUUGCAUGCUCCUAUUCUUUUAUGCUUCCUGUUGCAAGCCCGCCAAAUGCAAUCGUAUUUGAAAGCGGUAAUAUGAAAACAAUGGAAAUGGCUAAACCAGGUUUUGUUAUGAACGUUGUGUGCUGUGCUGUCCAAAUUUUUAUGGUGCAUACACUUGGAGUUGUUUUGUUUAAUCUGAACACGUUUCCCAAGUGGGCAAAUUCAACUGAACUGCUCGAUUUUCAGAAAAAUUUUAAUUUAAAUGUAACUUUUUAAACACUCUAUUUUGACUAAAACUCAUACUCUCAAAAAUAAAACUCUUUUUUAUGACAAUUCA